rnacentral:rRNA from 1 species
CCCUUAGAUGUUCUGGGCUGCACGCGCGCUACACUGAUGCAUUCAACGAGUCUAAAACCUGGUCUGAUAGGGCUGGGUAAUCUUUUGAAAGUGCAUCGUGAUUGGGAUAGAUGAUUGCAAUUCUUCAUCUUCAACGAGGAAUGCCUAGUAAACGCAAGUCAUCAGCUUGCAUUGAUUACGUCCCUGCCCUUUGUACACACCGCCCGUCGCUCCUACCGAUUGAAUGAUCCGAUGAAUACCAUGGAUUGAGAGUACGAAUAGGUUCGCUUAUUUCUGCUGCUCGAGAAGUGGAGUAAAUCUUAUCAUUUAGAGGAAGGAGAAGUCGUAACA